rnacentral:snoRNA from 1 species
UAAUCAUUGAUGGAAUUCUAUUGGGUAUCCCCGAUUUUUAGGAAAAAAUUUCUUAGACAUAGUCAAUAAAGAUCAUUUUUUGUUCUGUUUCUCAAAGUGUCUUUCUUUUUUCCCUUCAAAUCUUCAUCUAUUCAAAGAAACUUGUAUAUAUUGCAUUUCGGUUAUGCGAUGCACUUUGUUCAUUUUAACUUUGGAUCAAUAUACCUCACCAUGAACAUGUUCUUUUCUAAUGACCAAAUAAAGAUGUUCUAGUAUAGUGACGAAGGUCAUGAAUGAGCGCCGAGGGAGGGAUAUAUUCGGGCAACGAGGAUGGAAAAAUGGAAUGAAUACUUCAUGGAGGCGUAGGAAAUAAAAUAGGGAUAAGUGGGUUUUCUGCUUGACUGUAUAGCAUGAUUGAGUUUUUCAGUCGUGUCUAUGUUCAAGUUUAUGGUAUUCUGUGGUUGAUUCUGUUGAUUUCACACGUUUCACUUCCAUAUAGUGUGUCAACCGAAACUCUACGUGAAGGUUUACUAUAAGAAAAAUUUCAAUUUGUUUUUAUUCUAUUGUUUACUCUCCGUGAUAUUUUUUCUCUUUUAUUGUCCUUGUCUUUUCUGGAUAUAUCCUUUGCACAUUGGUUUUAUUCAUUGUUUUCUAAUUAUGCUGGGAGUCUUUUUGUGUUGUAAGGAUUGGCGUGGGCGGGGCUUCAUUCUUCCAAACUUGGUGUACUAUGGUGCAGUGCGUUAUUGCUUGCAGUGAUGAAGUUGCUUCGAGUACUUAAAUGGAGAGGAGACGGAAAUAUUAAGGAAGAAAUGAAUGAGAAAUGAAAAUGUACAAAGACUUUGAUCAAGUAUGGUUUUGUUUUAUGCAUAUUUUUAUUACUAGAAGUUGGGGAGAUUUGAUGGUUUACAGAAGUCAUAAAUUCAAAUAUCCCGUUUAAUCGCUCAUCUAUUAAAGUUAAUAGUAGAAUGUAGUUUCAUACCCGGGAGAAAUUU